rnacentral:lncRNA from 1 species
UUACAUAGAGCAAAGUGACACCCAAGUUCUUGAACUUCUCAAUGAGAUUAGCCUUAGCAGGGUCGUUGACCGUGGUCUCUCUAACCAGAGCAAAGGUCCGAUGCCCGGCCUUCGCGCCCGCUUCAACGACAAACUUUCCGAUAUAGCCAGUGCCUCCGAUUAUCAAAAUCUUGCUCUUCUCAGCCAUUAAAAUUUCGAAGAAAUUAUCAAAUUCUUCUUCUUUUUCCUAGUUUUUUCUUUUGUGUGUAUUUUCGAAGGUGUGAAGUGAAGAGAAGUAGCUUGAGCGCAUCUUAUGUAUAUACUACGUGAAAAGUUAGUAUUACCCUCGUCAGGUUGCUAAAAAAAGGAGUUGGCGAAGGGCAGUGCCGGAAUUUUACACAUUUAUUGUUCCAGAAUCAAAGACCCUGAAGUGGUCCAUACGUAAUUGUCGUUCUAGAACCCAAAUGAACAUAGUCAGGAUCACGUUGAUGUUCAUAAUUUUUUAGGUAAAUUGUAGCAAUGAUCCUUCAAUUUUAAUCGAAUUGGAGCAAUGGUCCUUGAACUAAAAAUUCAUUACCAUUGGUCCUUCAACUUAUCAAAAUAUGUAACUAUAGUCUUUUUCAUCAAAAUAAGUUAUGUUGGAAUGACCAUUUAUACAAUUAGGGUCCCUCAACUGAUCAAAGUGUGUAAUUAUGAUCAUUUUCUUCAACUACGUCAAAUUUUUUGUCAAAACGAGUUAUGUUAGAAAGACCAUUGCUACAAUUUGGUUAAAGUUAAGAGACAAUUUCUCCAGUUGAAUUAAAGUUGAGGGACCAAUGGUAAUUGAUUUUUAGUUUAGGGACCAUAGCUAUACGUUUUGAUGAGUUGAGGGACUAAUGUUAAUGAAUUUUUAGUUGAUGGACCAUUGCUCCAAUUGAGUUAAAGUUAAGGAACCAUAGUUACAAUUUACUUUAAAAAAAAAAAAAAAAUCAACGACCUCGUAUGGUACUAUUUUGUUUUUUAUUUUUAUUUUAUGCGUUUUUUGUUUAUAUAUUUGUUCUCUGUCUCUCGUCAUUGUUUCUAUCGUCUUUUAUGUUUUCUCAUUUAUCUCCUUUACUGCUAUUUUAUUGACAAACGAUAUCAUUUAUACUAACACCUUUCAUAAUGGGAUAAUAAUAAUGUGGUUUGUUUGUAUCAUACUUAGGGCCUCCGUAUUUAGAUCUCGUAUAAAUGCUCGGGGGACUCAAAUGUAAUUAUGCAAUAAAUGAAUGGGGCAAAUAUGUAAAAAGGGGAUGAGCCCUUAUUCUAUAAAAGGGUAUCCUCAUCCUCACAAACCGGAAGCUCAUCCUCACAUACAGAAGCCUCACAUCCCCAAAGAAAAGCUCUAUCUCCCUCACAUUCCUCUCACAAACAGAGAAAUACAGUAUCAGUGUGGACGUAGCCCAAACAUUGGGGUGAACCACGAUACAUCUUGUGUUCUUUACUUUCUUGCAGAUUCACGGUCGGAUUUACGUUGUUCCAAGACCCCUUUGGUUUUGUGCAUUAACAUUUGGCACCGUUUGUAGGAAACAAUACGAAAAGUUAUGUCAAUUCUCUUUCAUUUUUUCACCUCCACCGUGAAUCUCAGAACUCCAAAAUUCAAGUUCCUAUUGGCUCUGCAGUCCCUCAUGCUACCCCUCAGCUACCCUCGACAAGGUGGCGUCGGAUAACAACAACCUCGUGGGAAAGAGGAAGAAGAAGAUCUCUUUUCUUAGCUGUUAUUCAGAAUAUAACAGCAACCCACGUGGCAACAUACAACUGGCCUGCACAACCCUAACUUGCUCCCUCUCUCCCAUCUGGUUUGCUUCUGCAUACCAAACGACUAGAGACUCUACAGAUUUAACAGUUUUCUCCCAUUUCCUCUUGGAUCUCCAUAUCCGACAAUUCCCUAGAUUUCCACAUUUCCCAAUUAAAACCCAGAAAAGCAAACAGUCAGUUGUUACAGUUAUUCACAUAGCUCAUCAAUAUUUGCUGCCAUAUAUUCUCUCUCUAGAAAAUGGCAUCCCAACAGAUUCUACCCAUAACGUAUCACCCUCCUCCACAGAAAUCACUACUCAAAGAAGCACAGGACGACCUGACAACCCAACUGUUGACUGAUAUUGACUCAAGUGAAUGCCACAUAAUCUGCCAUGUCAUCAAUAUUUCUGUUAAAAGUUAGUUAGGAGGGUUAUGUGUAGCUUACACAGUAAGCAAGGUAGUUAGACUACUAGAGGGAUAUAAAAGGCCGAUUGCAGUCUAAUGUUUGUAAGAAAUAACCAUUCUAUCAAUACAAAACUUUUCAUAUUCUUUCUAGUUUUAUUUCCAGGUCUUCUUCUACAUUCUCUAUAUUUCUUCUUUCUUCUUUCUUCUGUGGUUCUGAUCUUCUUUGUUAAGAUGGUAUCGAGCCAAGGUUGAUUUUUUUUUGGGAACAUCAAUAUCAGUCAACAUCCCCCCUCAAUCUCAACUAGGGAAACCAAGUUUGAGAUUGAAACAAUGACGAGUGAACGGCGGACUAUGUAAUCCUUUAGUAAGAAUAUCAGCGGUAUGUUCAUCAGUUGGUAGAUAUUCAACCAACAAAUCACCAUGAUGCACCCUUUCACGGACAAAAUGAUAAUCCGUAUCAAGGUGUUUGAUUCUCGAAUGAUACACUGGAUUAGCACUGAGUGCUAUUGCAGAUUUAUUAUCACAAAAUAUAGUUGGUUGAAAAGGUAAUGCAACGCCCAAAUCUUUCAAAAUGAGCCGAAUCCAAGCCACAUCUGCUGCAGUAUGAGCAAGUGCCUUGUACUCCGCCUCGGUAGAACUUCGAGAGACGGAGGAUUGCUUCUUUGACUGCCACGAGAUCGGAUUCCUUCCAAGAUAAACCACAUAACCAGUCACAGAUCGUCUUGUGUUCAAAUCAGCAGCCCAAUCAGCAUCAGAGAAUGCUGUCAAAUGUAUGUCAGUAUCAGCUGCAUAUGUAAUGCCACACUCUGUAGUGCCUUGAAGAUAUCGAAGAAUUCGUUUGACAGAAAUGAGAUGUAAAUCUGUCGGAACAGUCAUAAAUUGACACACUGAAUUCACAGCAUACUCUAUAUCAAGACGUGUAAAUGUGAGAUAUUGCAGGGAACCAACCAAACUUCUGUACAAUGUAGAGUCCUGCAAUGGUAUUCCCUCAUGCAAGAGCAUUUGAUUGUGAGGUUUGCAUGGUGUAUUGGCAGGUUUACAAGAUUCCAUUCCAGCUUUAUGAAUAAGAUCUUUAACAUACUUUGAUUGAUUGACAAAUAUGUCUCCAUUCUCCUUGUAGUGAAUCUGAAGUCCCAGGAAGUAAGUAAGUCUGCCCAUAUCCUUUAAGUCAAAAACACCUGCCAAAUCAUCAAUAACUUGCUGAACUUUGCUAGGAUUGGAUCCUGUCAAAAUGAUGUCAUCUACAUAUAGUAAAAGAAUCACCACAUCCUUGUCAUCAUUCUUCACAAAUAAACUCGUAUCCGAUGAAGAUGGUACAAAUCCCAAAGCUGGUAAAUAGGUCGUGAACUUUGAAUUGCAUGCCCGAGGGGCUUGCUUCAACCCAUACAACGAUUUAAUCAACUUACAGACAUAAUGGGGUUUAGUUUGAUCAACAAACCCUUGAGGCUGUUUCAUAUACACCUCUUCUUGCAAGUCACCAUGCAGAAAUGCAUUUUUGAUAUCUAACUGCCUCAAUUCCCAUUUAUUGAUAGCUGCUAAGGACAAAAUGAGUCUUACAGUAGUGUGUCGGACUACGGGACUAAAAGUUUCUGAGUAGUCAAUGCCUGGUUCUUGGGGAAAAACCUUGAGCCACGAGUCUGGCUUUAUACCUCGAUACACUGCCAUCAGGAUUCUUCUUAACCUUAUAUACCCACUUACUGCCAAUAAUGGUUCUAUUUGGUGGAGAAGGAACCAAUUGCCAAGUUCCUUGAGCUUUGAGUGCAUUAAACUCUUCUUGCAUUGCACUUUGCCAAUGUGGACAUGUAAAAGCUUUUCGGAAUGUUGAGGGUUCCUCCAAAUCCUGUAUUGCAGCAAUAAAUGAAAACCCCCCAGUAAAGUCACACUCAUUAUCCAUCUGGAGAGUUUGUAAUUAUGGAAAUGAACCAAUAUAACCUGUGUAAGAUCUUCGGGAAAUGGCACCUGACUUCAACCUGGUGACCAUAUUGUGAGCUGAUUCUUCAUUAGUUUCAACCACAUGAGAAGAGAUUGGUAGGAUUACCUCUAACUGAGAAGGACUAUGGACAGGCAACAAUGAUAUUGUACUUGGAGGUGAUGUUGAGAGAGUAGGAGAGCUAUGAGUAUGAGCAUUGAGAUCCUGAGAAACUUGACUUGAUGAGCUUGGAACCUGUAAGCUAUCCAUUGGUUGAUCUUCCAUAAUAUCUGGAUUGGCAGAUGACCCGGCAAUGGUUGGGGAUGAUAUGGGAUCAGGAGCAAAACAUGGUAUUUGAACCAUGAUUGGAAACAUUGUUGUACUCUGGACCUUAUUGAACUUCCCAGAAGACAACUGCAGUCUUGAUUUAAAUGGAAAUGUAGUCUCAUCAUGCACCACAUGUCUUGACAAUACUAGUUUAGUACUACUCAAAUCAUAACAGACUACACCUUUAUAUCCAGCCACAAAACCAAGAAAAACACAUUGCUUUGACCUAGGUUGCAAUUUAUGUUUAGUAUACGGCCUUAAGAAUGGAUAAACUGUAGAUCCAAAUAUCUUCAAUGUAUGCAACACAGGGUCUUGUUUAAACAGAAGCUGAUAUGGAGACUUUAUCCCCAAAACCUUACACGGCAUUCUGUUGAUCAGAAAUGCAGCAUGAGUACAAGCAUAAUUCCAGAACUGUAAUGGAACUUCAGCCUCGGUUAAAAGUGUGAUAGCAGUCUCUACGAUGUGCCUAUGUUUCCUCUCAGCAAGACCAUUCUGCUGAGGUGUGUAAGGACAUGAUAUGGAAUGUGCAGUUCCUUUGAGUGCCAAAAAAGACUGAAAUCUGUUACUCAUAUAUUCAGAACCACCAUCUGUCUGUAAGCACUUAAUUAUAGAAUUGAACUGAGUUGUAACAAAUGCAAAAAAACUUAAAACAAAGACUUGGAAAACCUCAGAUUUAUUGAUAAUAGGGAAGAUCCAUACAAAUCUUGAGAACUCAUCCACAAAACUUACAUAGUAUCUAAACCCUUCUAGAGACUUAACUGGAGCAGGCCCCCAAAUAUCAGAAUGUACUUUUUCAAACAUAGAACUAGCCUUAGUUUCUCUGACAGGAAAGGGUUGUCUACACAUUUUUCCAGAAAGACAUGAAGAACAAACAGAAGGUGAUGAAUCUACACUAACAGGCUGUCCAACAUUUUGAAGCAUAACAUCAAGCACUUCGGCAGAAGGAUGCCCAAGCCUCUUAUGCCAAAUAGAAGUCUUUACAGCUUUCCCAAGUAAUGCAACAGCUUUAUUUUGACCAGCAACCAAUCUUCUUGAAAACACAGUCACAGGGAUCUCAUAUAGCUCUCCCCUACUCUUGCCGUGGUACAACAUCAUUCCGGUUGCCUUGUCCUGUAUAAAAAAGACACUCUCAUCACAUAUAAACCAGCAAUGAUUAUCUUCACAUAAUUUCUUAACAGAUAAGAGAUUAACAGUAAUGGUUGGAACAUGUAAGACAUUCUUGAGAAACAAUAAAUGUUGUGGAGUUGAAAGGGUUGUAGAACCAAUAUGAGUAACAGCCAAACCUUCCCCAUUACCAAUAGUGAUUUUCUCAUCACCAUUAUACUGCACAGGUUGAUUGAGAUUCCCAAGAUUAGAGGUCAUAUGGUGUGAAGCACCAGUGUCCAACACCCAUGUAUCAGCUGCAGAGAAAUGUUGAACAUUCUGACCAUAUUCUGCAGCAGUCAUGUGAGAUGGAGCUUGAGCAGAAAAUGCAGUAAGAGAAGGAGGUGGAGGUGCCCCCUGAUAGGAAUAGUUAUUCCUAUGUCUACAAUCCAGAGCAUGAUGACCUUUCUUUCCACAAAUUUGGCAGAUUAGAACCUGAUAACCAUCACUCCUAUUCGAACAAGUUGCAGCAGUAUGACCUCUGCGAGAACAAAUCUGACAUUCAACUAUCGGACCUGUUUUUGAAGGUAGUAUUACCACUUCCAAGAAGACCUAUUCCCAGUAGGAGAAUUAUUAUAGUUGUUUCCCCAUCUCUGUCUAUUCCCAUUGUAAUAAGGCCUUGAAUUAUUGAAAGACCCAUAACCACUUCUGUUAUAGUUCUGAGAAGUAUUAGACCCCUGAGAAUUAUUAAACCCAUUUCUGUUUUGAAACCUGUUGUUCCCUUGAUAGCCUUGAGUAUCACCAGUUUGUGAACCAGCAUUUGAACUCUCUCUUUGUGAAUACUCGGAAUUCUGAUGACCACCUGUAACUCUAUCUCCUUGAACAUACAUUGCAGCCAUGCCACUGGCCAGAGUAGUGACUCUUGCUUCCAUAGCAGAUUCAACACCAAUCAACUGCGCCCUGAAAUCUUUCAGUGGAAUAGAAGUCUCCCUUGCUAAAACUACAGCCUUGACAAUAUCAAACUCUGAUGGUAAUCCAGAUAAAGCAGUAAUAACAACAUCAUUAUCAGUAAUCCUCUCCCCUGCAGACACAAGCUGAUCACGAAUGGCUUUCAACCGAAGCAAAUACUUGUCAAUAGAAUCACUGCCUUUUUGAAUUGUAUGAAACUCAAUAUUUUGUAAUAAUAAAUCUGCAAUAGCACUCAGUGCUAAUCCAGUGUAUCAUUCGAGAAUCAAACACCUUGAUACGGAUUAUCAUUUUGUCCGUGAAAGGGUGCAUCAUGGUGAUUUGUUGGUUGAAUAUCUACCAACUGAUGAACAGACCGCUGAUAUUCUUACUAAAGGAUUACAUAGUCCGCCGUUCACUCGUCAUUGUUUCAAUCUCAAACUUGGUUUCCCUAGUUGAGAUUGAGGGGGGAUGUUGACUGAUAUUGACUCAAGUGAAUGCCACAUAAUCUGCCAUGUCAUCAAUAUUUCUGUUAAAAGUUAGUUAGGAGGGUUAUGUGUAGCUUACACAGUAAGCAAGGUAGUUAGACUACUAGAGGGAUAUAAAAGGCCGAUUGCAGUCUAAUGUUUGUAAGAAAUAACCAUUCUAUCAAUACAAAACUUUUCAUAUUCUUUCUAGUUUUAUUUCCAGGUCUUCUUCUACAUUCUCUAUAUUUCUUCUUUCUUCUUUCUUCUGUGGUUCUGAUCUUCUUUGUUAAGACCAACUUCUGCUGUGCUUGAAUUUCGAGGAUGAAGAAAAGAACACACUUGUGAAGCCCCUCCUCCCCAGGGUCUCUAGCUACACCACCACUUCCGCUGCUGCUCCCAACAAUUACCAGCAGCCACGGCGUCGGACCGCCAGUGACAACUCCCUUUCUUCCCACUCCCUCUCCGACGACACCCUCGUCCUCAUCCUUAUCACCAACCAGCUCCGCAAGGACCUCACCUCCACCAAUAAGUUCGAGUGGUAAGGUUUUCAUUCAAAAGAAAGCAAUCGCCAUGCUUUUGAGGUUGUUUGAUAAAUACCCAGAUGCUGUGAGGGUGUGUUUUAAGCGUCUCACUUUCUUGCAUUUUCUCGAAAAACUUGAUUGAUGGCCGAUGUUCAGAUGCACGACGCUGAGAUCUACGCCUUUUAGGCCGAGAUCAACUAGCUUCUGAGGUCGAGGGCAAAGAGUCCGGCACGGAGCUUGCAAGCUCUUCCCUUGUUUGGAUGGUGGUGGGGGACUUUGUGCUCUCUGGAAAAUCAACGAAGAAAGGAAGGCUUUGCUUUUGAAGACCCCGAGAGUCACGAGGAUGCUAAAGUUGGCGAAUUGAAUGCAACUUUAGAAAAAGAAGUCACGCAGAAUACAAUGAGACGUGGCACCAGCUCACACCCAUCACUUUUCGGAUGCUAUACGACAUAGCCCAGACACCUGGCGAUUUAGAGGGACUAUAUGCGGAGCAAUUAAGCAUAAAUUGAUACCGACUCCUCAGAAUUUGGUAAUUUCAACUCCAUAUGUAUUAUUACGUAAUGUAUGGUCAUGGUAAUACUAAUUUUUGAAUAUUAGAAUUUAUAUGAUUAAUACUACUUACCGACACCGAAAGUGAAGAAAUUAUUCAGAUUCCUUCACAUGGGUAUACUGUUCACAUUAGCUUUAAUCAUGUAAGCUAGAGUGAGCAUAUAACUAGGGUUAGGUUUGUAAACCUAAGUGGUUAAUCGUCUAUAUGCAAAAGCAAAGAAUAAACACCCACAUGCAAAAGCAAAGACUAAAGGGAGGAUUUCCUCUGCGAGAGCACAUGGGGGACACUGCAAAAGCAAAAGAAGAUAAAAAGAAGCAGACAUAAUUACGGUGGUGAUGGCAUGCAGAAAAGGGAAUUAUGGGCAUGACCCAUUGAGCAGAGGGUGGGAUUUAUUUUUUAAUAAUGUAAUUUAUUCAGAAGAUUCAGAAGUCAGCAGCACACACAACGCAACAUUAACAAAUUUUACUCUUCGGCCGACGAGUUGGCACGCCCACAUACAACCGAAUGACGUAGUUAGCUUACUAAUUACUUGGCAUGCGCGUCACGUAGGCUUAGUAGUUUUUAGGGUCAACAUUUUGGCACGCCUAGUGGGACCCAGUGCUAAAACUACGAAGUUCACAUGAUAGAUCAAGAUUUCAAUCAGGUUCCGUUGGAGACUUAGCGCCAAGUGAAACAUUGCUACAAAAAGAAAGCAAAACUCCUUGACAAGUUGUCUAGAAGAUGGGGGCAAUUUUCCGCUCCAACAACAAUCACACUUCGGCCUAGGAAAAUUGUCAAGACGGCCGAAGAAGAACCUAGGCCACUUGUUUGUUUGGUCGAGAAUGAAAGUGUGGUAGGCCUAGAAGAAAAAGUUCAAGUUUUUGAGCCAAAAAUUGACUCAGAAAAUAAUUCGUCAAAUGAAGGUUCCAAUGAUGAACAAGGCCGAUACAUGGCUUUAGAUGAAAAAACCACAUCAAUUGAUAUGGUAAUUGGAGACGUGAUCUUAGAAGCCGAAACCACGCCAAUUGAUAUGAUUAUUGGUGAUAAAGCCGAUAUAGAGAAAUUCCAUUCGGCUAAGCUGUUCGAUUUAAGAGCCGAAAUUAACAAAAUGAUUAUGCCUGGGGGCAUAAUAAUUGUUCACCAUAUUCGGCGGUCGAAAAUGAAAAAUAUUUCGCCGAGUCAAAAAUAUUUGGAGAAAAUUCUUUAUUCGGCCUAGAGCAAAAUCAAUUUGAAAAUUUUGUUAUUACAAGAUCUCAACUUGGAAUAAAGCAUCGUUAGCCUCCUCCUUCUCAUGGAUCGACCACUUUUAUUCCUGUAUUUUAGAUUUCAGUUUUCUCUUUAUAUAUUCUUAUCCAUCUGGCUGUUUGAGUUGAUGAUGCAUAAGAAAAUAGGGGGCAACGGGGACCUCAUACACCUGACCUCAUAAAAAAAAAAAAAAAAGGGAAAACAACUUUCGGUUGUCUAGGCCGAGGCCAAGAGAUUCAGGAAGAUGCUAUCAUGGCCAUAGCAUUGGCCAAAUAAGAUACGAGUUGGCUGAUUAAAAAAAAAACAAAAAAAAGCUUUGAAGUCCGUGCCCCUGAAGACUUGUUUGAAAGUGGAGGGGAUAUUAACAAAGCCAUUCGGCCCUUUUCUUUAGGUUUUUUAGGUGAAGAGGUAAAUUGAGGGCUCAGAAGUGCAUGACAGCUGUAUUACAUUGGGAAAGGAGUAGGGAUGUAUAUCCUAAAUGGUGGCUUGAUGCCGUGUGCAUAGAUCCUAAAUGGUAAGCCAUUUUUUAGUGGUCAUCCAGCGCCAUGAUUUCCACUGUUGCUGCAUCAUUCUUGGGGUAGGUAAGCAGAGAGAUUUGAUGUGACUGAAAUAUGGUGAUAUUAUCAUAACCCAUUUGGUGGAAAAAUUCUUCUCGACCUCGGUGUAGUUUUUCUCGGCCUAAGCCCGCUUUAUCCUCAACCCCAAUUUUCUUGACCUUCUGGCAAAGUUGCCAAGCCUGGUAUGAAGUUGCGGCAGUCGAGGAAGGUUGCAGCGUUGGCAGAACAUACAUGUUAUUGCUGAAGAACAAAGUUUCUUUUUUCGGCGAUUAGACGAGAUUUUGUUGGUUACGAACAAUUAAUUUCCUUAACCAUUUGGCUUACGAGCCGAAAUUUAAGGAAACUGGGGGGCAAUGUUUGGACCAAUUUUUACACUAUCGGUCCGAGUAAUCGAGGUCGUUGAAUGAGCAGGAUUUUAAACCAACAAAGUGGUUGAAAUGAUUUUCAAUUAUUAUUGAGAAAUAAUAUUGUAAUUUUAAUUAUGAUAUUAUCUCUUAGUAAUGUAUUAAAUUAUUUAAACCUAAUAUUUGUCUAAAUCCCAAUUGAUUUGAAUGGUGAUGGAAUAUAGGGAUAUGCAUUAAGGCAUGGCAUCAGAUAACAACAUGCAAAGAUAUUGAGAUACGAUUUGCAUAUGUGGUAUUGCUUUAGCCACAUGACACAUGCAUAAUUAGGACUCCUGUGCAAAGUGGUAUUUUGAUGGAAGAUGACAUCUCAAGUGUUUAGCUGAUAUUGCAAUAAAAUUGCAUGCAUGGUUGCACAUGUGUCGUGGGAAAGAUAGGUUUAUAGUUUGCAUUGGGAGUCUUUGGCUAUGAAUGACAGCUUAAUGGGAUAAAGUAAGGCUACUGAUGGAGUUUUGAUGUGAUGUGAUAAGCCUAUUUAGGUUUUUAUUAGCUUUGAAAAGUCAACAAUUUGAAGAUAGGCUUUAAGCCAAUGCAACAGAUCAAUUAAGUUUUAGUCGGUUUUUGCUUAUGAUCCAGGCUGUACCAAACAGAAAAUAUGUUCUUAUAAAUACAGAGGCAAUGGAAACGCAUGAAGAACCUCCAAUUCAACACACAAAUUGCCCUGCGCAUUUUCUCGCUCUAUGCGAAACUUCUCAACAACCUUGAGAUUUUUGUUUUCCCCUUUUCGCCGACACACUUUCAGUUUUGAUAAACAGCACUGUGGAGGCAACCGGCGAACAUCUUCAAUUUGGAUAAACAGCACUGUUGCCGUAGAAUCAGCCGACUGUAGAGCAUCUUCAAUUUGGAUAAACAGCACUGCGAUAAGGUUGACUGGUUACCUAUCAAAGUCUCAGUCGAGAAUGAUUUUGAAUCCUUAUUAGCAGAGGUCAUCUCGUUAGCUUUCUCGAUGAAGCGAGGUGUUACAAGUUAUUAUACUCGGCACGUUAAACGAGUCGUUUAUGAUUGGUUACUCGCAAAUAGGUUUUAGAGUUCGGCAUUAUGAUGGCCGAACCACUUUCACAAUCAAGACGUAUAUUCGUUUUGAAUACUUAUGUCCUUAUACUCUGGUGUCGAUUCGGCGUGCUUAUACUCUUACGAAUAUAAUCACAGUGAUCGAAUCUGGCGCCGACGAUUUAUGAACUUCGCAAAACUCGUAGCUUUGUCUUUAAGCUCUAGAACCUGAAGGCCGAGGCGUGUUCCUUUCUCGACCGCAGUCACACGAUCGAAAAGUUAGCCGCGCACCCAACCUAACAUCAACAAAUUUUACUCCUCGGCCGACGAGUUGGCAUGCCCCGCAUACAACCGAAGGACGUAGUUAGCUUACUAAUUACUCGGUCUGCGUGCCAUGUAGGCUUGGUAGUUUUUAGGGUCAACAGAUAUGUAGGGUUUAACGGAUAUUAUUAUUUGUAAAUAAUCCUAUUGGACAAAUUAUGAGAAAUGUUUUCCAUCGAAUUACUGUGAUGGGUGGUAAUUGAUUAUGGGCUUUAACUGGAAACGAGUCCUCUCUCUGCCUCACUUAUAUAUAUUGCAUAUAUCCAUCUAAUAUGCACUUGAUAGAAAAAACACGAUUAGGGUUUUCACGUGCAAAUAGAGGCAAGAGAGAGAACACCUAUUUCCUCCGCCGCUGAUAGAAUCCGUUUAGGAUCUGAUAGCGUUCGUUGUCAUGGAUCAAGGUACGCUUGGUUGUUUAAUGUAUUUCUACAUUUUAUUUGUAAGUGAAAAUCAUGAAGUUCGAUGAUCUUGGCUUAAUUGAUUUAUAAUUUACAGACUAUGGCUUCCACCUUCGCCAGCGGCGACUGCGGCAAAGCUAAAUUCCGACAAUGAAUCAAAAACAAGAAAAGAAAAACAUAUGAAGAGAUACUCCGUAUAAGGAUGUUUGAUUAUAAUAGCUCUCACACCAAGUAUGAUUAGUGUAGGGUCGGAUGAGACCAAAAUAUAAAUGAUCUCAUAAAAGGGUAAUGCGCGGAUUAUAUGCUUAGAAGAUUUAGCAAGUCAUGAGUUCAUGAUGGUUAGCCUAGCGAGAGAUUUUGGAUGCAGCCGAGGAUAUAUUUCUAUAUCUCAACGCAUCAUCACGGUUGUACGUUAGAAUCUCCCAGUCUAAAUCAUAACCAGCCACAAAUGUGCAGGAAAAACAUAGAAAUUACAUUAAGAGAAUGUAAAUUUUGUUCUCAUCACAAACACUUAUCCGCUCAAACAACAUUAACAACAUUUAAACUUAUUUUUUCUGAGAUAUUUAGCAAACAUCAUAGCGAAAGUCCUGUGAUCUUAAUUUCUUCAAACAAAUUGAUCAAGGUACUCGUCCACAGUUGUGUACUUCACAUCAGGGUAGAGCUCAUAAGCCUCGACUCCAAACGACGGCUCGAUUUCGAACUUGGUCUGAUCUCCGUUCACAAACACUGAGUGGUUGAUUGCUAAUAUCACAUUGAUUGGAAUUGGGGCCGCUGCAAAAUUAAACAACAUAUGUUAAUUAACCAAAUCUUGAUUAAAGUUAAGUUAAACGCAGUUAAGUUGAACCAAUGCAUGAUUAAUUACUGCUUGAGAGGCUUAUAGAACGGUUGAUUAAGAGCAUUCGCUCAUGCACUCGAGAUCCCGAGUUUGAACUCCUUCCUGUUCUCUAUCGUUUGUAUAAAAAAUGCAUGAUUAAUUACUGACCUUCAAUAUCCUUGAGAAGUUUGUCCUCUGGGACAUAGACUUUUUCAAGGACUUUGCCAAUCUUCUUCUCCCACAGAGCAACAAGCUCAUUGAAUGAGUAGAUGUUCUGGGGAGGCUUCAGGAAGAGGACCUUGUUCAAUGUUCUUGGAUCAUCAACGGCCCUGAUUGUAUAGGUUCCUAUGUCCUCUUCCUUGUUAAAGACAGCUGCAACAUUAACAAGAGAUACAUAGCAUGUUUGAGACAGCUUCUGAAAUGGCUCAAAACGGUUGUAGACAACUAAAAGCAUUUCUAGCACAAAUUAAUAUAAAACACUUAAAAAGCUUAUGGAUCGUAAAACCAUUUUUAGUAUUGUAAGGAGGCACCUAACAGGUACUUCUUCAAGAAGAACUUCUAGGUGCAUUUUCAGGAACAACUUGGUUAAUUACUAAUAUCGCUUCUGAACGUAAGUGUUUUUUUCUUCUGAAAUUAACGUGAGCGGUACCUUUGGGAUUUCCAUCCCCUAAGAUGGUGACUUUGUCUCUGGGUGGAGAAGUGGCACCUGGCUGUGCCAAUGACGGCAGAAAGUAGCCAGCAAAGCAGUUGCUGGAGACAUAAGUGUGAGGGAUGCCCUCAGCCUCAAUAGCACGCCGGAUUUGGACCUUGGCGUCAAACGAAGAUUUGGCUGGCUCAACUGCAUUCACUCGAUCCACAUCGUUUCCAAACUCCGACGGGAAAAAUCUCUGCAUAAAAUAUAGGCUAAGUUACUAUUAAUCUCCAUAAUUGAGCAAAACUUGAGUCGGACUGUCUGAUAAUUUUACUGUCUUAAAUUAAUUUUCAUGUAAUUUCACUAAAAAUCUUAUUGGGACCAUGUCAAUAUCUAAGGGGCCUAAGUGUUGACAUUAUCAAAUAAUAAAGACGAGAUAUGUGGAUGGUAGGUAAAAUGUCGAUAAAGACAAGAUAUGUGGAUGGUAGGUAAAAUGUCGAUAUUAGAUAGUUAAACAAGUCACGUGAUCAGACAGCCUAAUCGAAGAUUUCUUGGUUAAUUAGAGACACUAACCUUGAUAUUGCCAGCUUCUUUGAUGGCUGCAAUGAUCUUGGUUUGGUCUGCAGUUUGCAGGAAACCCACCGUCGAUAUCACAACGUCCACCUGUUUGAUCGCCUUCACCAAACUCUCAUGGUUAUAAAGAUCUCCCUGCAUAUUAAUCACCGUAAUUAACCAAGUAUCAUAACAUAAUUGGGAGAAAUUAGGUUCUCAUCCUUCAUUUUGCUACUCCAUUGAUUAAAAUCAUAUUUCUUUUCAAUUUUUUAUCAAGGUCCUUGGCUAUUAAUAACAUCAUUAAUUAUUUCAAUAAUAAAAUAUUUUUUAUUUAUAAAUAUAUUCAUUUAAUGUUAAAAAUGUUACAAUUAGUAUAUUUAUAUUUAUGACUAAAUUUUUUAUCAUAUAUUUUUAGUUUUAGUUUGUACCCAUUUUUAAUUUGCAACCCUUUUUUAAUUUGUACCAAUUUUCUUUUCAAUUUUAAUUUGUACCCAUAUAUUAAUUUCUUUUUGUGCCUAUAUUUUUUUAAAGUUUUAUUUGUAUUUGUAACCAUAUUUAAAAAAAAAUUUAUUUGUACCCAUUUGUUAUUUUGCCAAAUGUACCCAUGCAAAUUAUAUGUACCCAUUCAUAUAAUUUUUUCAAAUUUUUAAUCUUAAAAUGUACUGAUUCUUAAAUAUGCCAAUCUGUUAUAUGUAAAAUGUACAAUUUUUUUUAUAUAAAAUCUAUUCAAUUUUUUUCUAAUCCAUUUUUAAACUUAUAUGGGUACAUUCUUUUUUCUUUGAUUUUAAAAUGUAUCCAUGUCAAGUUUAAUCGAAGAAAUUUAUUAAUGUUAUUAAGCCUAAUAACUUUUUUUUUUGUGAUUUUGAAGAUUGUACCAUGUUUAUACACACACAAUAGUAUAUUUAUAUUUUAAUAUUUUUAAUCCCACGAAUUGUGGUUUUUUAUUUAAAAUCUCAUUUACAUAAACAACUAAAAAUUUUAAUUUAAAAAAUAUAGUAACGUACAUAGAAAUAAAUUAUUACAUUAAUUUCAGGGAUUUCGAUCAAAAAUUUAAAACCAACAAGGUUUCAAUUAAAUAAUAUUCAUAGGUAAGAACCGCAUCAAAAGUCUCCUUUAAAUUAAACACAAAGAGAGAUUAAUAUGCAAGUAAACACUAAAGAGAUUAAUAUGCAAUUAAACACUAAGAGAGAUUAAUAUGCUUACAUAGAGCAAAGUGACACCCAAGUUCUUGAACUUCUCAAUGAGAUUAGCCUUAGCAGGAUCGUUGACCGUGGUCUCUCUAACCAGAGCAAAGGUCGGAUGCCCGGCCUUCGCGCUCGCUUCAACGACAAACUUUCCGAUGUAGCCAGUGCCACCGAUUAUCAAAAUCUUGCUCUUCUCAGCCAUUGAUAUUUCUAAGAAAUUAUCAAACUCUUCUUCUUUUUCCUAGUUUUUUCUUUUGUGUAUUUUCGAAGUUGUGAAGUGAAGUAGCUAGAGCGCAUUUUAUGGACGAAAUUAUAUGGUGACAAAUUGAAAUAGUGGAAUUGAUUGUUCACCUGCUUUUAAAUUUUUUAAUCAUCAUUUAUUUGACUUGAUGAGAAUAUUUUAUUGAUCUUAUGUAUAUACUACGUGAAAAGUUAGUGUUACCCUCGUCAGGUUGCUAAAAAAAGGAGUUGGUGAACGGCAGUGCCGGAAUUUUACGCAUGAAUUGUUCCAGAAUCAGACCCUGAAGUGAUCCAUACGUCAUUGUCGUUCUAGAACCCAAAUGAACAUAGUCGGGAUCACGAUAAUGUUCAUACUUUUAAAAAAAAAAAAAAUUAACGACCUCGUAUGAUAGUAUUUUGUUUUUUAUUUUUAUUUUGUGCGUUUUUUGUUUAUAUAUUUGUUCUCUGUCUCUCAUCAUUGUUUCAACCGUCUUUUAUGUUUUCUCAUUUAUCUCCUUUACUGUUAUUUUAUUGACAAACGAUAUCCUUUAUACUAACACCUUUUAUAGUGGGAUAGUAAUAAUGUGGUUCAGAUGAACUAGCCUGACAGUGAACUAAUAAUAAUGUGAUUCAAGUUCACCUUUAACGAAAAUCGACCUAAGUCUUCUCACUUACAAGUAAAAAGAAACACUACUAAACUGUGAUACCAAAUUAUCCUUUAUUGUCUUUUAAAAAUUUUCAAGAAAAAGAGAAAAAGAAAAAAGAAAUAGGCUUGUGAUCUAGUUUCAUUUGAGGAGAAAUAUUUUAAUCUUCGAAGAUAGUAAGUUAUGGAAUAAAUAAAUCACACAAAUUUAGAAAAUGCAUAAGAGAAACAUUAAGAAGACUCUCAAAAGCAUGGCUUUUUAUAAACUUUUUACGGCAUCAUAUUUGACACAAAAUUUUAUAAUAUUGACAUAGAAUAGAAUUUAACGUUAAAUUGUAAAUUGAACGUCCCCUUCAACCUUCUCAAGACACAAUGAUCUUAGGGUGAAGGCUAAGAAAGUGUGAUCAAGCCAUGUUUGUCUGUAUUCAACCACUUACGAAGGAAUCAUUUCAUGUAAAAAAGACAAACUAUCCCAACCCGUCCUCAAGUUCCACGAGUCAUCUAAAAUAUAAAAAUAAUGUGUUCAAUUCUCUUUCUUUUUGUUGUGUGAAUAAUAUGUGGAUGGCCCAGGAAAAUUUGUAAAGUAAAUAAUGUUCUAUUUGCUUAUAAAAUGAAUGAGAUGUUGUGAAUAAUAUGUGGAUGUACCAUAUGAAUAGUUUGUUACUAUUUAUACACAGUAUUUUCACUAUUCAUUUGUGGAAAAUUUGUAAAGUGAAUAGUGUUCUCUUUUGUUUAUAAAAUGAAUGAAAGAUGAAUAAGGUUGAGAGACAUACGGGAGAGAUAGGAAGGAAAAAAGGAUGAGAGAAAGAGAGAGGACGAGAGAAAAGAGAGGAAGAGGAGAUGAAAUAAUAGAAAGAGUUAUCUUUGUACUCCUAUUAUUCCAAAUUAUAAUGAAAGCACCACUACUGCCCCGAGGAAGUACUCCAGUCACACUGACUGUAGAGGAACCUUGUAAAUUUUAUGUCUUAUUUCAUUUAUUCCACUGCACCCACCGUCAAUUUUACAACAUGAGAGACGAAUAAGGAGAGAAGCAAAAUGGAAGAGGAUGAGAGAAAAGAGAAGAAGAGGAGAGGAGAUAAUAAAGAGAGUUAUUUUUGUACUCCUAUUAUUCUAAAUUAUAAUGAAAGCACCAUCGAUGUCCCGAGGACGUACUCCAGUCAUACUGAUUGUAGAGGAACCUCGUAAAUUUUGUAUCUUGUUUCUUUUAUUCCACUGCACACACUGUCGAUUUUACAACACUUUUGUUAUUUUCUUUAGGUUUUUAUUUGAAGUCUCUAGUGGAAGGAACAUUUGUAGGGCUUAAUGAUUGUGGAAGAGUAUCUUAAAGGAAAUGCAUCAUCUCUGGAUUCCUUCCACCAAAUUCUUUCAAUCAAUCAAUUCGAGUUCUUAAAAUUUGAUCCAACGGUUAUAAACAAAAGGUCUCUUUAAAAGUUAUAAUAACUUUAACCGUUAGAUCAAUUUUCAAGGAUCCGGAUUGAUUGAUUGAGAGAAUUUGGUGGAAGGAAUUCGGAGAGGUUUCCUAUUUUAAAAAGGUGGAAUGUUUAAAAGUGGAUAGUUGCAGUGGUGAAUCCAGGAUUUUUAACUCAGGGGUCCCAAUGUCAAAAAAUUUAUAGACAAAAGUAACAUUGAAAAGUUAAAUAUAAUACAUUUUAUUCAAAAAUCAUACGCAAAACAAUAUUACAAGCUAUAAAAUCCUAAUUUAAGCAUCCACAACGAGGUUUCAUAGUCUGAAAAUAUUCCAUGAUAGCUUAAUUACCAAUACAUGAAAAAACAUAUUUCUUAAUAUAAACAAAUAAGCUAUCACUCAACCAUUGAUCUUCCAUUACAAGCUGUCACUCAAUACAAACAUAAAACAUAUCAAUAAUAAACUAAAAAUUUCCAUCAAUAUCUAAUAUAAUUUAAUUAAGAUUAGAUUAGAAUUAUAAAAAAAAAUUACUUAAAUUUUGAACCAAAUAAUGGUGGAGUGGAGAAUUGAAAAAAGUGGGAAGUAUGAUGUUGGACUAAUGUAAUUAUAAUAUGGGAUUGGGUCACGGGUGGGAUUAGAAAUUAGGGUUUUGAAAUGCGGGAAAGAGGGAACCAAAUAAUGGGGAAUUGGGGAAAAGCAGUGGGGAAAGAGAGAACUUUGGGGAAAGAUGUGGGGCUCAGCCGCUCAGGGGAUGGGUUUUAAAAUUAAAACAAUAUGGAGUCAUCAGUUAUGGACAAACGACAGCGGUUGUUAUCUCUUCUUCUUUUUAUUUAUUUUUUCUUUAAAAAAAAAAGCAUAAAACAAUUGACCAAAACACUGCAGUUUUGGACCAAUUGUUAAAAACCCAUAUUUUCUUUCUUCUUUCCCGCUGUCUUCUUCUCCGUUGCAACCUGAAAGCAAACAUACCUCGUGUUUCGAGGGAUCCCUUGGAAAAUUUCUAACAACGAUUUAGGAUCGCCGAGAGGUCCUGAAACCUUCCAAGUCCCUCUGUAGAUCCACCACUGGAUAGUGGAUGUCACUACAACUUAGGUUUUUUUUUUUUUUUUUGGUCCAGUGAAACAUCAUAUGUUUAAUUCUUAUAUUUUCAUGUAUUUAAUAAAUUUUCUUUCGUCACUUAAUAUUACGGUAUAAUGAUAUUCUUCUUCACUUGUAAGUGAAGAGUCAUAGAUUCGAUUCUAUCGAAAUACGAAUUUAAACCAUAUUAUUACUAGACUAUUGUGAGAUUAAACGUACUCUCUUUCUCUCUCUUAGGGUAGAUAAUAUAAUUUUAAAAAAAAUAAAAAAUCUUCUUUCAAUGCACAAAGGUCUCUAAGGUCAGAAACUCUACUGCUCCAUGUUGAAGGGUCGCCUAAGUUCUUCGAAUAUCGAAUGUAUUAACUAAACAAUAUUAAAUCGUUAGCAGACCAAAUUAUGCAACAACUCAAGCUAGAAAGAACAUGAAACUUCCCAUAAAUAAGUAUACACAAUUUGUACAAGUCAAGAAACACAAUUUGUACUACCAAAAAAACUCCAUCUCAUAAGUCAUAAGAUCCUAGCAAUUUAAACAUUAAAGAAAAAGAAAAGGUGACGGAUCAAACUGGUUGCAUAAAUGGAAGCCCAUGACCGACGGAUCAAGCAUAUGGACCCACUAUUAUGGGAAGGAUUAUUGGGCCUCAAUGACAAAUCAGGUACUAAUUUGAUCAUGGCCGUUUGAUUUAGGGGCCCAGCUGUUGGCUACAUGAAACUGUGCUGCGUAAGUAGUUUUGGAAUCGCCUUCUUCUAAUAUUGGAGGUUCAUUCAGAAAUGCCCAAUUGCUCGCUGUCCACCUGCAUAUAUGAAUCCAAUGGUAAUUAUUUAUUUAUUUUUUGUUCUACAAAUAAAAGACAUGGGAGUACUUUAUGUUACUUGAUGCAAAAUUUAAGUUUAGUGAGCUUCUAAGAUUCAUAGAGUCGAUCACAUUUAAUAAAUUUUGAACUUUAAUGGUAAAGUGAAUAGUACUAAGAUUGACUUUUCAAUGUAAAAAUAUGAUUUUUCGUUAAAAUGAACAAUACCGAAAAUUUUUCGUUAAAGUUACCAAAGCUUUGUUGUUAUUGUUUUAUACAAAUAAAAAAUUAGAAGAAAUUAUGAAGAUAAUUAAACAUGUUAAUUACCAGCCAUUGUUCUUUAAGAUUUGUUGAGUCCUAGGGCUUGUUUCAGUAUCUGUACUGCCGAUGUUUGUUGUGUUCACAGGAAACGAGCUUGAUUUCUGGAUUUUUCUUCCCGGUUCAUCAGCCGUGCGAAUUUCCUGACAUGUGUAUAAUAUUGUCAAUCUCGAUAUGACCUGUGCUAGAGCCAAUCGCGCAUACGCACAACGAUAACAAUAGAAAAAGAAUUUAAUAUAACAUAAUACCUGGCUGAUGCUAUUUGAUUUCUUGUGUGCUUUCCAGUAAGCUUCAAUCUCCUCCAUGGUGAGUGAUUUAUUCUUCUGAACUCCUUAAGAAUUAAAGAUUGUGACCACAAUUAGAAACUUAGUUCGCAAUUAAGUGAAAUAAAUAGUGAUAAAACACGUGGAUUAACUCAGUAAUAAGCUACAAAUUAAUACAAGUAAUUAACAGGAUUAGGGUUAAAUACCUGGCUUGGACCUUAAGACAGGUGAGUCCCAUCCUGGCACGAGUGAACCCAUUUCUCUUCAAACUAUGAUCUUCAAUUCAGCUCCUCACUUUGUGUGAAUAAUAUAUGGAGAAGUUCAUUAUUAUAUAUAUACGUGCGGCUUUUUUGACGGUGACUGGGGAGCCAAUACAUAUCUUUUACUUUGUUCUUCUUACCCCCCAAUUGCCAAAAAAUAAUAUAUUGCUAACUAGCCAAGACGCAAUACCGCUAUAGCAGCCCACAGGUUUUAGAUAUAAGGCGGCGAAUCCGGAUUCAUGUGAGAAUUUCAGAAAAUCGUGAAUGAUGUUGUUUAUCGUAUAUUAUGCGAUCAUAAAUUAUGUUAAAAUUUUUAUUUAAAUUGAAUAUAAAUAAUAUUUAAUAAAACUUAAUUAUAUAAUAUAUAAUAAACGGACACAAUUUAUAAAUUUAUAAGAUUUUCGUAAAAAGAUCAGGAUAAAAUCUUGUCGGUAAGCGGCAAUACUUGAUAAUUUUGGAUAAGUAUCACAUAUAUUUGAAGUGACACGAGUCAAAUAAAGACCCAUAACACGCACCCAAGAAAGCCAAUUAGUUGUCAGAGUUAUCAGCUUCGGUAGCUAGCUACCGUUCAGCGAGAGGAGAGAUUUAGCCCCAGUUUGGGGUUCAGUUGAUUUUAAAAAAAACUCCUAUGAAAAAAAGUUGGGAGUAUUUUUGGUGUUUGGUAAACUUAAAAAAAUGGCUUAUUUUGGAAGCUGCUGUGAGAAUAAGCUGAAAUCAAAGGAAAAAGCUGAAGCUGCAGUUUGUAGCUUUGAAAAACUGACUUUUUUUCAAAGCACAUAGAACUACAGUGCUCCUUUAAUGAAAAGAUCCACUAUCAGACUGCUUUUUUUUUCCAAAAGCACUUUUACAAAAAAGUUUACCAAAACCCUCUGCUGAUUUAUUUCACAUCCGCUUAUUCUCACAGCACAGCUACUUAUUCUCACAGCAGCUUUUUUUCAAAGCACAGCAAUACUAAAUCAGCCCUUAGAACGUUCGCAACGAAGGUGGUGUGUCAGAUGUUAUUUUACAAAUAAAUAAAAGUUUUUGUUUUUAAAAUGUCUGUCUACUUACAACGUGUGAGAAUUUGUUACAGGAAUACUGACAACUUUCUCCCUGGAGGAUCGAUGAAGCCAAAACCAGACUAAUAGGGCUUUCUUUUGGAAGGUUUCGACGUAGUACAUGCAUGCAGUCGUUCAUUCUGAUAAUUAAUUCUUUACAAAAGUGGUAAAUAUGUUGUACGUUUGUAUAAGGCGGUGAACGAUUGGUCUUUUUGAAAACAUGGCCGGCCAUAUCAAGUAAAGAAGAAGAAAAAAAAUGAAUUGAUGUAUAUUUGUUUGUAAAACCAAUGAAUGAAUGUUGUAGUGCAUGAGAUCAACAAGAGAGAUUAUAUUCACACAUUCCAAAUUACUUCUCUCACACAUUUUUUAUUUUUUAAUAUUUUUUACGUAGGAGAAGUAAUUUGGUAUGUGUGAAUAUAAUCUCUUGAUCAACAAUUUUGCAAUUAAAUAUUUAUAAAACUAUACAUAGAUAUGUCCACACACGAAUAAUUAAUUAAUUAAUCAAUUCUUGGUGGAAAAUGCCUUCUUCUUGAAACUCUUAGGCGUUGCCCUAAUCCAAGCUUUUGCAUCAAUGGAGUCCUUUGUUAUGAAAGGUGCAGCUUCUUCACUCGUUAGGACUCGUGCCCAGUCAGCUCUUUUUGAUGUCACAGCUCCAGGUCCAGAACAUUCGUAUUGUCCAUAGUAAACAGAACUGCAUAUGUAUCAAUCAUUGGAACCAAAUUAGCCAACGUAAAUAAACCAAAAAAAAAUUGAGUAAGAAAUUUGGAACGAAAAUAAGAAAGUUGUUAUUAGCAAUCCAAAAUAAUCUUCAUAUAAAGAAACUGAGGAGCAGACGAUAAUUAUUUUGAAAUACUAAUAACAAUUUAGUAAAAGUACCU